rnacentral:rRNA from 1 species
GUGGGGAAUAUUGGACAAUGGGCGAAAGCCUGAUCCAGCCAUGCCGCGUGAGUGAUGAAGGCCUUAGGGUUGUAAAGCUCUUUCAGUGGGGACGAUAAUGACGGUACCCACAGAAGAAGCCCCGGCUAACUUCGUGCCAGCAGCCGCGGUAAUACGAAGGGGGCUAGCGUUGUUCGGAUUUACUGGGCGUAAAGCGCACGUAGGCGGAUCGUUAAGUCAGGGGUGAAAUCCUGGAGCUCAACUCCAGAACUGCCUUUGAUACUGGCGAUCUAGAGUCCGGAAGAGGUGAGUGGAACUCCUAGUGUAGAGGUGGAAUUCGUAGAUAUUAGGAAGAACACCAGUGGCGAAGGCGGCUCACUGGUCCGGUACUGACGCUGAGGUGCGAAAGCGUGGGGAGCAAACAGGAUUAGAAACCCGUGUAGUCC